rnacentral:lncRNA from 13 species
GAGCAAGCGUCCUGCAAUCCUUUCUAACUCUGACAAAUACAGCUUAAAACCCAGCCAGCCAGCCACUAGUUCCUGGUGUGGUCCCUGAGACCAGAAGAAUCAGCGUCACCUGAAGACAUCUUCAAAAUGCAGAUUCUUAGGUUCUGUGGAAUCAAUAAUCUGGGGGUGGGCCCAAUGACUCAUGUUCAACAGGCUCUCUGGGUGACUCUGACACACACCCUAGUUUGAGAACCACUGGUCUAGUGCAACCCCCUUGCCUUACAGAUGAGGAGUUGAAGCCCAGAGAGAGGCGUGCCUUACCCAAGGUCACAGAAAGUGCGUCACUGUCAGGUUGUGACUCUGGGCCAGACUGCCUAUCUGUGGAUGUCUGUGUGGUGAAGCCAUGGAUUUCUUCACUUGCUCUUCUCCUCGGCUGGUGCAAAUACUCAGGGAUCAGGGAUCCAGAAGCUAGAAGGGGCUGGCUUCUCAGCCCUAAGGGCCCUUCAUCCACAUCUCCCUGGGAAGCUGCUGUCCUUUCUUCAAGACCUGGCUCAGCAUCUUUCUCCCAGGAUGCCUUGCACAGCUCCCUGGAUGGAGGCUGUCUUCUCAUUCCUGCUGCAUUCAUUACACCAUGUUGCAACCAUAUUUUUAUAUGGACAACAAGUUGCCUGGACAGCAAGUUCCAUGAGGGUAGGAGCUAUGUUUUAUUCAGUCAUUCAUUAAAAAAUAUUUACUGAGCACUAAGUUUAUGCCAAGUACUGUGCCAUACCCUGAGAUACUUGGCUCAUGUCAUGGAAUGUAUGUUCUAGU